rnacentral:sRNA from 1 species
CAGACAGCCCUGAAAAUCAAUCUCUUCUAUUUAUCCACAGAACAGAGGGACCCUGGGCAACAGCAGCCUUUCUAACUGCCCCACUCUGCUCCAUCAUGUGCCUCAGUCCUGACGUGGAGGGACCACCGCAGAGUACAUUUAUUUUCUAUUCCCUUUAAGCCCUUAGCUUGC